rnacentral:lncRNA from 1 species
GUUUAUCUUUUUGCGAAACUUGUAUUAGCUCAACUCAUGUAAACCUGUGGGAGAAAACAAAACAAACAGCUGAGCCAUCUUUUCCCAUCUCUGUUAAUUUACCUUGAAAAGUUCACAGCUUAGACAUUACAGCCUGCUGGGGUGGGAGGGAGUGGCCUCUGGGGGGAAUGUCCCAGCUCCCUUUAAUAGCCUCUCCCCAGAGGGUAACCUGUUCUUAAAAAGCUUAGCCUCAGGUGUCUGCUAUAGCUCCCAGGGCGUGUGUGACAACAGACCCAUGUUAGGAGUUUUGUAUUUCAAACAAAGCCCUCAAAGCUCGCAGAAAGAUCCCUG